rnacentral:rRNA from 1 species
UACGGAGGGGGCUAGCGUUGUUCGGAAUUACUGGGCGUAAAGCGCACGUAGGCGGCUUUGUAAGUUAGAGGUGAAAGCCUGGAGCUUAACUCCAGAAUUGCCUUUAAGACUGCAUCGCUUGAAUCCGAGAGAGGUGAGUGGAAUUCCGAGUGUAGAGGUGAAAUUCGUAGAUAUUCGGAAGAACACCAGUGGCGAAGGCGGCUCACUGGCCCGGUACUGACGCUGAGGUGCGAAAGCGUGGGGAGCAAACAGG